AGAGAGAGACAUGCGCGCAUAUCAAUAAGCGGAGGAAAAGAAACUAACAAGGAUUCCCUUAGUAACGGCGAGUGAAGCGGGAAGAGCUCAAAUUUGAAAUCUUCAAGGUUCUACCUUGACGAAUUGUAGUUUAUAGAAGUGUUUUCUGUUAGUGGAGUGGCAAGAGUUCUUUGGAAUAGGACAUCAUAGAGGGUGAGAAUCCCGUAUUUGGUCAUUCCUCCUAGCGUUGUGAUACACUUUCAACGAGUCGGAUUGUUUGGGAAUGCAGUCCAAAAUGGGUGGUAAAUUUCAUCUAAAGCUAAAUAUUGGCGAGAGACCGAUAGCGAACAAGUACCGUGAGGGAAAGAUGAAAAGAACUUUGAAAAGAGAGUUAAACAGUACGUGAAAUUGUCAAAAGGGAAGCGUUUGACACCAGUGUUGUUUUUCCGAAAAUCAAUUACGAAUGUUUUGUUUUUGAGGAGUUAUGACUUCAUCGGCUUGCUCCCUUCUUUACUGAAACUUUCUUAAUGCACUUUUCGGUUAACAAGUCAACAUCAAUUUCUUUUGUUGUAAAAGGGUAUGAGGAAGGUGGCUUUCUUUUCGGAGAAAGUGUUUAUAGCCUUGUACCUCUGCAAUCGGAGAGAUUGAGGUCUGCAGCGUAGAUCCUUCGGGGUUAGAUACAUUUGUGCUAAGUUAUAGCUUUUCAUAGACAACUUGUUGACUAUGUUUAGUCUUGUAGCUUACUCGCUUAUGCUAUUUUACCUACGCUUAGGAUGUUGAUAGUCACAGCGUGUAC
rnacentral:rRNA from 1 species